rnacentral:rRNA from 1 species
UACAGAGGUCUCAAGCGUUGUUCGGAUUUAUUGGGCGUAAAGAGCUCGUAGGCGGUCUGUCGCGUCUGCUGUGAAAUCCCGAGGCUCAACCUCGGGCUUGCAGUGGGUACGGGCAGGCUAGAGUGCGGUAGGGGAGAAUGGAACUCCUGGUGUAGCGGUGGAAUGCGCAGAUAUCAGGAAGAACACCGAUGGCGAAGGCAGUUCUCUGGGCCGUAACUGACGCUGAGGAGCGAAAGCGUGGGGAGCGAACAGG